CUACGGGUUGCUCCAGUGAGGAAUAUUGCACAAUGGGGGGAACCCUGAUGCAGCAACGCCGCGUGGAGGAUGACGCAUGUCGGUGUGUAAACUCCUUUUAUAUGUCAAGAAAAUGACGGUAGCAUAUGAAUAAGCACCGGCUAACUCCGUGCCAGCAGCCGCGGUAAUACGGAGGGUGCAAGCGUUACUCGGAAUCACUGGGCGUAAAGGACGCGUAGGCGGGUUGGAAAGUCAGGUGUGAAAUCCUACAGCUUAACUGUAGAACUGCACUUGAAACUUCUAAUCUAGAGUAUGGGAGGGGGAGAUGGAAUUAGUGGUGUAGGGGUAAAAUCCAUAGAUAUCACUAGGAAUACCUAAAGCGAAGGCGAUCUCCUGGAACAUUACUGACGCUAAGGCGUGAAAGCGUGGGGAGCAAACAGGAUUAGAUACCCGGGUAGUC
rnacentral:rRNA from 1 species